CAGCUCCCCCGGCCACCAGGCACGCAGUGCAGCUCUCCCUCUGCCCUGCAGGUGGUACUGUUCGACCGCUUUGCAGCCCUCUAAGGCAAGGAGCUGCAGCUUUUCGGGUGAGCUUUACCAGCGCAUCUGGGCGCAGCUGCAGGCACGGAGCUGGGCUCUAUCCGCUGCUCCCCGUGGGUGCAAGGACCAAAGGCGUGCCCUGUCCCUGGGACACCCGGUGCACCCAUGUGGGUCACCCACAGCUCUCCUGAGACAGUGCCAGCCUGCGGGGCAGGAGGGGUUUGUGCGUGUAUCAGAGCAGCAGCUUUAAUCCGUAAUGCUUGCCAUGAGGAUGAGGUGUCAGUAGCUUUGAACUCCUCGUCGUGAGGCUCGGGCCCCUGUUUGCAGCUCAGCACUGUGCCACAUCUCCUUUGGCUGGGGCUCAUUUGCGGUGCUGUCAGAGCACCAACAGGUCCCAUACGGCAGCGCACAGAGUCAAGGCGUUCUCCUGGUGUAUCCAUCACUAUCUCCGUCUCAUUGCCAAGCACUUCAAGCUUUCAUCAGAUCAAUUUUCUCCCUUUGAAAGAAAAGAGUCUUGUUAACUUGUGUGUGGGGCAGUGGAAAGCGCUCACCUGCCUCUCCCCAUGGUGCUGUGCAGUGUAAGCUGUGAAGAAGCAAGUUCCUCUCCCAGGAUGAGUAAAGUUUGCAUGACCUCGUGCCAGAAGAUCAAUGUUUUUGGGGAAAUGGCCAUUAGCCCUUCCGUGAACUUGGCAAUGUGUUUCCUAAGAUUCUUAUCACAUGUAGAAAGACGCCAAUUACUUCUAGCUGUGGGCGAGCCAGCUGUUCCUGGGACAACCUUCAGCCCUCCCAAGGACAGCGGAGGUGUCAGCCUGUUCCUGCUCGGCCCUCCUCGGGACCAGGGCUGGUGGCUCUCGGGGCCGGGUGAUGGUUGGGAUGAGUGUGGUGGAGUUGCACGGGAGGGCUGCAUCCUGGAGCCUGACUUAGCCAUGCCUGGUAGCCACCAGGCCAAACUCAUCACCUGGAGCCCAAAGACACUUUGCUUCAUUGCAAAUUCAUAGAUCCAUUUGUUUCUCUGUGGGGGGUGUUUUGAUAAGAUAGGCCUGGUACUACACCUUCGGUUGUGUAAUGGAGAUGUUUCUAAAAGAAUUAUGUUUUUUUUUUUUGCUCUUGGCUUGAUUUUAAAUUAAUCAGGCUCAAAGAUUUAUGAGCCUCCAAAAACUGUUUCUUCAGGGAUGCCCCUUGAUUGCACUGAAGGCAGAGUGGAGAUCUGAAUUUUCAGCAUGGCUUCCUGUCAGAAACAGAUCAAUAGCCUCAUAAGGAGGAUCUUGUUUCGGAGUGGGAAAACAACAAUUAAGCUGGCAUUUAUCUGUUACUGAUUCAGGAUAACAGAAACAAAAAAUCACGUUACAGAACUGUACAGGAGUAGACUUGUCUGCAUUACCCAUGUCUGGGUGAAUUCAAAGCAGGAUCUCCAAAGGCAGCAAAACUCUGUCACAAUAUUGAAACUGUCAUAAAAUGUGGCUGAAGCUUUCCUCUGUCAGAUGGACGAGCUGUGCCUUCUUAAUUUUGGGGUUUUCUCUCUCUUUUCCCCAUAGCAUCGUCACUCGAAUCCUUGUGCUUCCCGUUGGCGGCAGAGCAUGGCCACCCGCGCUGCAGAAAUGACAGGUUGGAGGACAAGAGUAGGGCUGGGGCCGUCCCCAGGGCUGCUGUACGUGGCCAGAACAUCGGGUUCGGAGACUCUCAGUCAGCGUGCUGCGAAGGUCAUAAAAUAGCUAGCAGCAGAAGUAAUCAGAGCCUGGGGCUGGCCCGGAUCGCCCUUUCCUUUCGGAAUUAAGGAGGGUGCUUGGCGCUGCUUGCGAAGCAAUCACAUUGAACAACCCCAAAUUGGCUUCCACGGGGAACCGUGGCCUCCUUGCUCUGCGAUAUGCCCUCCUCCGGUCCAGCAGCUUUCUCUUCCAGACCACAGCUUUAUUUAAUUUAGGUCCUACCAUUGGCAAUGGUUUUGCAAUGGGCUGUGGGUUAGGAAAAAGUAGAGAAUUUUUCCUUAAGCAAAAAGGAGAUGACAUUGCACAGAAAAAACAGAGCAAAGAAUAGUUUGUUGGCCGUUUUCUGCCUUGCUUCUGUGUGUGAUGCCAGCAAAAGGAUUGCAUUUUGGAGUGAUUUAAUGAAAAAAUGACUUUUGUUUCUAAUUCCUUUGCCUGCUUCAAAGCAGAAGGGCCACACGAUGGAGCUCUGGGGCUUCUGUCGGGGCCUGCCUGGAUUCACGCGUAAAAAGCAGUUUGGAGACCUUGAAAUUACGGUUUUUAUUAAUUUUUCACUCAGUUUAAUUUUUACAUUCAUUUUUAAAUGGUAAAUGUUCUAGACAUUAUAAUUGUAAAAUGUAAUUUAUGGUUGCUAGCUGAAGGUAUUUACUUUUGCUUUCUUAAGAUUGGAACUUUUAUUUUUAUUUUUACGACUGUAACGGGGUAACAUUUUUCAAUCUCCUGAGAGGCUGGCAUCCCAGAGACAGCGUUAGACCAUAUAAUUCUUCCAAAUGACACCCUGACUAUGUUGGGGAAGCUCUCAGGCCUCUAUAUGCAAAUAUUAAGCACCGGCCUUGCUGCACGUGUGAGAGAAUAAAUGAUGUUUUGGAGUGCUCCUUGUUCCUGGU
ensembl:lncRNA